AUAUUUAUAUAUAUGUUCAACUCAUUGAACAUAUAGUUUAGAAAUAAAUACUCUGUUCUCUGUACAUUUUGAAUAGAUGCGUGUUGAUUUCAACUAUCUGAUACCUAAUGAAAUUCUGUAAUGAUAGUGAUUUAGAUGCCGAUAUUUCUUUAUAGAUGAUUGACAGGCUGUUUGACAUAAUGAAUGGAUGCAAUCCUUGUGCCAAAGGAUUCAAAGCUCCCUUGGGUGCUUUGAAUUGGAUGGAGAGAAAAGCGUUUUUGUUGAGAGCCAGGGAGUACUUGCUCACUUUGGUGACAAAAGAUGGAACAUCCCUUCACCGAUCGAAGAGGUCUAUUAAAAUAGUGCUUGUUAUUCAUGCAUGAAAAGUUCAUGACAUGAGUUCAACGACACUUUGUUCCCUUAUGCAUCGAGUUUCUAAGAUGCUCCGUUGUUCUGUUAUGCAUCGAGUUCCUAAGAUGCUCCAAUGUUCUGUUAUGCAUCGAGUUCCUAAGAUGCUCCGCUCUCUACAUCAGGUUCAUAUGAUGCUACUGUUGCAAUGUUUUUCUUUAUUUUUUUCUCUUUUGAAAUAGUUUUGUAUUCAGUCCCACACAAGUGUCAUAAUGGUAUGUAUGCUAACAUGAUGCUCAUUUAUUUAAAUGUUUUUCAGCGUUCAGUUUUGUUGAUGUCGGAAAUGUCUUGUAUUCAGUGUGUUUCAGGUCCGAGAUGAUUCAAAAUGGUAUGUUUUACACAAGAUCAAUGUUAUGCAUGUGUCAGAUGGAUGGUAUGUAUGUUGAUAUGAUGAUCUCUUGUUAAAAUGUUUUUCAAUAUGUAGUUUUGGUCCUGUUGGAAUGAUCCUGUUUCAGGUGUUUCAGGUCCGAGAUGUUUCUAAAUGGUAUGUAUUACAUAACAUCAAGUGCAUGUCGAUAUCAAAAUGGUAGGUAUUGCAUGUGUUCGUGUUCUCAAGUUCUUCCAGUUCUCCCAGUUCUGCAAUUAUAUUGUUCCAAGUUAGUUAAGUGUCCUUAAAGUAUACUGUAUAAGUUAAAGAAGAAACUGAUCACAUUCCUAAAAACAUGGAUGCAAACUAAUUAUCGAUCUGUAAUGAUCUGUUGACCAUUUUCAUUCUCUGUGAGUUUGCAUCCCUGUGAUAGGCACUCAAGAAUUGGUGAUUACACGUUACUGAUGGAUGUGAUGGAAAAUCACUUUACUGCUUUGAAUGAACAAAAUGACAUGGUGCUUUCUUGGGGUGUCUUGUUUCGCCAUGAUCACAGUAAUAUAUUUUUUUCUUUUGCAGGUGCUUGUCUGUCAUUGGAUUUGUCAUCAAUAUUGACACAUUGAUGCUGAUGAUUCCUGAGCUGCUCCAAGUUCAGCGGCGGCUGGAAUAACAAUCCAUCUGCAGGCCAGUUCCAGGCCAUCUUCUGCCGUCUGAUGGUUCGUUGUGGUGUCUCACCUAGUGAGACCGGCAAUGUGGUAGCCCAAGAUGACACUGUCCCUGUCGGCAGUAGAGAUGUCCUCUGCUGAAACUGCUGAAGAGCACCCAUCUUCAUUUGCCAACAUUUUGGCUGUUGUGUGUGACCACAGUUAUCUUCCCACUCAGUUUAGUGAUCUGGUGGAAUGCUGUGGUCUACAUAGCAGGAUUUAUAGUCCGGCAGACUCAACAAAAGCUGUCCUGUGAUGUGUGCCGUUCAAGCUUGGUCAGAGAUGCUGUGCCAUCAUCAUUUGACGAGAGCUACCACCUUCUUGCUCUGAAAAACAAUGUGAUUCCAUCACAAGGCACAGUGUGCUGAGAGUUGCAGAGAGGGUGAUUCGCCAGGCUUCAACAAAGCAAGCUCCAAAGGUGUCAACAGUCACACACAUCGUCCGGGAGGAGAUUGGAAUGGAGAAUAUUUUUCUGCUUGUUGAACACAUUGAAGAUACACAGUUUGGUAUCGACAACCAUCAUUCCAGCUUGUUAUCAUUGGUUGUGUCCGUGUUUCUCAAGAUAAGGCUGCAUCAUAUUGCCAAACUUACAUCUCUUGACCUGCAGAAAGGGAGCACGAGAAAGAAGCUCUGCAAAACAGUCCUCUUUAAGGGGUUUUAGCUGUAAAACAAUUGUACAUGUGUAAAUGUGGUUUGGGGCAGGGAUAUCAUGUUCUUGUGUUAACUUGAGAAUUUAUAUUUACAUUACAUUUUAUACUCUCUGCUUUGUACAUCUAUAUGAUUUAUAUACACUGACAGUCAAUAGAAACUUUGAGACCAUAUUUUUCAACAUAAUUUUUAUUUUGAAGCCCGAAACUGGAUCUUCUUCAUAUGAAUAAUUUGUUUAGCAUAUUGGUAUACAGAAACAAACAUCUAAAGUUUCAGGAAUGAUUUCAAAAUAAAGAAUUUCACAAAAGAAAACGGCACCUGCCAAACACAAAGUCACAACAGUCAAUACUGAGUAUGGCCUCCAUUUGCUUCGAUGCAGGCAGCAAUCCGUCGGCGCAUGCUUUGGACCAGGCUUCUGAUUGUGGGUUGGGAACAGCCCAUACGCCUGGCUACAUCACUGUAGCUCAAACCGGCCUCCACCAUACCCAGUGCCCGGAGACGUUGUUCAUGUGAUAGACACGGUAUGAUGCUGUUCACUGGACUAACAAUGGUGGCCUUUUUUGGGCCUUUACAUCGGCCUUCAAAACCCAUUCUCAAAUUGUGCGGAUACUCAGUGAGUAUUGCUUGGUGUGUAUUUGGUUCACUUUUGCAAAGUGACCAACCCAUGUGCAAUGAAUCAUGAAAAAAUGACAACUCAUCAUUAUCUCAACUACCAGGGCACUAGAUCAUCAGUAAAUCCACAAUGAAUAAUUACAACCCCCCUACAAGUAGAAUUCUGCAUACAUUUCUACCUCAAAGUUUCUAUUGACUGUCAGUAUAUAU